rnacentral:tRNA from 1 species
AUUUAUAUAGUUUAAGCUAAAACCUUACAUUUUCAUUGUAAUAAUAAAAUUAUACACAUAUAUUUUUAUAAAUA